rnacentral:rRNA from 1 species
GGGUGAGUAACGCGUGGGAACGUGCCUUCUGGUCUGGAAUAACCCUGGGAAACUAGGGCUAAUACCGGAUACGCCCUUUUGGGGAAAGGUUUACUGCCGGAAGAUCGGCCCGCGUCUGAUUAGCUAGUUGGUGGGGUAACGGCCUACCAAGGCGACGAUCAGUAGCUGGUCUGAGAGGAUGAUCAGCCACACUGGGACUGAGACACGGCCCAGACUCCUACGGGAGGCAGCAGUGGGGAAUAUUGGACAAUGGGCGCAAGCCUGAUCCAGCCAUGCCGCGUGAGUGAUGAAGGCCUUAGGGUUGUAAAGCUCUUUUAUCCGGGACGAUAAUGACGGUACCGGAGGAAUAAGCCCCGGCUAACUUCGUGCCAGCAGCCGCGGUAAUACGAAGGGGGCUAGCGUUGCUCGGAAUCACUGGGCGUAAAGGGCGCGUAGGCGGCGUUUUAAGUCGGGGGUGAAAGCCUGUGGCUCAACCACAGAAUGGCCUUCGAUACUGGGACGCUUGAGUAUGGUAGAGGUUGGUGGAACUGCGAGUGUAGAGGUGAAAUUCGUAGAUAUUCGCAAGAACACCGGUGGCGAAGGCGGCCAACUGGACCAUUACUGACGCUGAGGCGCGAAAGCGUGGGGAGCAAACAGGAUUAGAUACCCUGNUAGUCCACGCCGUAAACGAUGAAUGCCAGCUGUUGGGGUGCUUGCACCGCAGUAGCGCAGCUAACGCUUUGAGCAUUNCCGCCUGGGGAGUACGGUCGCAAGAUUAAAACUCAAAGGAAUUGANNGGGGCCCGCACAAGCGGUGGGAGCAUGUGGUUNAAUUCGAAGCAACGCGCAGAACCUUACCAUCCUUUGACAUGGCGUGUUACCCA